GUGUGUAUGUCUGUGUGUUUGUAUGUCAGUAUGUCUGUGUGUGUAUGUCAAUAGACACACACAGACAUACUGACAUACAUACACAAACAGACAU